rnacentral:rRNA from 1 species
GACGAACGCUGGCGGCGUGCCUAAUACAUGCAAGUAGAACGCACAGUUUAUACCGUAGCUUGCUACACCAUAAACUGUGAGUUGCGAACGGGUGAGUAACGCGUAGGUAACCUGCCUGGUAGCGGGGGAUAACUAUUGGAAACGAUAGCUAAUACCGCAUAAUAUUAAUUAUUGCAUGAUAAUUGAUUGAAAGAUGCAAUUGCAUCACUACCAGAUGGACCUGCGUUGUAUUAGCUAGUAGGUGAGGUAACGGCUCACCUAGGCGACGAUACAUAGCCGACCUGAGAGGGUGAUCGGCCACACUGGGACUGAGACACGGCCCAGACUCCUACGGGAGGCAGCAGUAGGGAAUCUUCGGCAAUGGACGAAAGUCUGACCGAGCAACGCCGAGUGAGUGAAGAAGGUUUUCGGAUCGUAAAGCUCUGUUGUAAGAGAAGAACGGGUGUGAGAGUGGAAAGUUCACACUGUGACGGUAUCUUACCAGAAAGGGACGGCUAACUACGUG